AUACAAUGGGCUGGCAAUGGCUAAUUCUUGGGUCAAGCCACUAAUAGGCCAGCGCUAUUGAAGAAUAUUGAAUUCACACCUUUGGGCUGAAGUGAAAUGCGCAGCAAUGAUCUAAAACUUUAUUUUGGGUCGUCUGCAUUGGGUUGAGGAAUCAAGUGAAGUUUUUCAUUUUGGUGAUUGCUUUUUCUUUGGGGGUCAGUGUUUCGAAGGCCUCAUUUUCCAAUUGCAAGUCUCGAGCUAGGGCUCAGAUGCAGAGAAAGAAAAUGCAAAGAAAAAACGUUCGUGCUCGUGCCUCUGAUCCAGAAGAAGUUGAAGUUGAUCCUUUUCACGUGCAGGGAGGUCAAAUCGGUAAAGAAGGGGAAGUUGAUCCAAGGGCUGUAAAGACGCGAGUGGUUCGUGAUAAAGGGUUGAGAAGAAAGGAAGCGAUUUAGAAAAUUAGUUCGUCAGAGUAUCACGAAGCUUCCAAUUCUGUUAUAGGUUCAUCCCUUUUCCCCUAUUUUUCCCUCUUUUCCUUUUUCUAUAAAAGGAAGAUUUUGCAAUGUAUAGAGUGUGUGCAUUGGGUGACAGACAGUGUACUUAGCUGAGGUUUUCAUUCUCUUGCUUAGUUUAAAUUUCUUCAAGCUUUGUAGAGAUAGAAUCAUUGCUUUGGGUUACUGGAUUUCGUAGAGGGUUCUCACGUGAGUGACACGCCGUGAGGUUCCUCUGUGAUCUUCGGUACAACUCUUGUAAUUCAGUUUUAAAUUUCAAUAUAUUUCAGUUUUGUUAUCUUUUUCCACAGUCUUGCAAUUUCAAUUCCUACAAAGUUAUUUUACUAUUCAUGCAAUUUAAGAUUUCUACCCAAUUUUUUUAGUUUUUGCGGACUCUAUUUCUUUCAAUUUCUCUUUUCAAUUGCAAUUGUAGUUUAGGUUAGUUUAGAGUUUGAUAUUGGGUAAUCUUCUUAGUCUAGAUAAUAUGUUUUAGGUGUUACAUUGUAAGGAAAAAUGCAGUUCUAGGCAAUUGGCAUUGAUUUGCAACAUAAGGAAAUUGUUCACAUUAUAAGUAUUUGAUUCAGAUGCCUUAGGACCCCAAAGAGGGCCUAAUUUUUCAAGAUGUCUUCUUGAGACAUAGUAUGCAUUAAAGCUUCAAAUUAAGUCUGUUGCCAAAACUGUAUUUGAACUUUACUCUAUUUUUUGAGCUGUUUCCAUUGUAGGUGCUUCGGUUUAGAUUUCCCAUUUCUGUUUUUAAUUGUUAUGUGUUACUCUUUUCAUCAUUCCAAUAUUAAUUUAUCAUUAGUUUUCUUGCAUUUAGCCUUUAGUUUCUUAGAUUUGUUUUAGGUUCUUUUAUUACGUCAUUUUAGUUUAAGUAUUCUAUUUAACUUUAUUUAGUAUAGAGUACGGUUUUAUUUUUCCUUCUUUGCAUCAUUCUAUAUUAGGUAUCAUGCAUUCAUUUUAGAUAAAAUCAUGCAUUGCAUUAUCUUUUAGUUUCUUUCUUUAGAUUUUAUUUUCUUUCCCCACCUAGUUUUAGUAAACAAAUAAUUAGGUUUAAUUCUAUAAUUCUAAACUUAAUAAGUACCAAGUCCUUGGAUUGAUUCCCUAGGUUGCCCCUAGACUACAUUAGUGGGGACUAGGUUUUGUUGGCUUUGAGGUGACUAAAAUGUUCUUCAACAAAUGGCACCUUUGUCGAGGACUUUGGCGACUUAAAUUUUAGAAUUGUAGAGUUAGCCUUGUAGAGUUAGCAUUGUAGGUUCAACAAGAGGACGCCCAAUUUCCAUGGGCUGACACAUGAAGAUCCACACAAUCCCAUCAAGGAGUUUAGCUGGGUGUGCUCCUCCAUGAAGCCUCCUGGGUUUCAGAGGAAUCAGUGUUGAUAAGAGCUUUUCCAAUGUCCUUGCAAGGUGCAGCCAUGGAGUGGAUGAUUUAUCAACAGUAUUCCUUUAAUGGAUGGCAAGAGAAGUAGAAAAGAUUCCUCAACAAGUACUUUCUAGUAGCUAAAGGAGUUUACCUCAGGAGGGAGAUCACGGUCAUUAGACAAUUCCAAGAGGAAGGUCUGGCUGAGUAUUGGGAAAGGUUCAAAGGGCUUUGUACAGCUUGCUCCAACCACCAGAUUUCAAGCCCAGGCUUCUAGUCUACUUUUAUGAGGGUCUGCUUUACAAAGACAAGGUGUUGGUUGACACAGCAGCUGGAGGCUCUCUACUAGAAAAGACCCCAACUGAGGCAAGAAAGUUGUUGUGCAAGCUAGCUGGAAAUGACCCUAAUGAUGUAACUGGUGAAUCAAGAAAAUAGGUUUUCUCUGAACUGAAUAUUCCAAUUAAUACUGACAAGGUUCAACUUCAUUUUAAUGCUUUUAAUCUUUUGGAAAGUUGAACCAAUAAAUCCUGCCUUGGAUCAUGUUCCUGUUAUGCAUUCUCAUAGUCUUGAUUCAGCAUUUGACAGAGAACAUAUUGAUAUAUAUGUUGUUUUCCCAGACUCUUAGGCUGACUUUGAGAUUGUUUCAGUGGAGGAUAUUCCUUCAGUAUAUGUUGAGGCAUCCACUGAGUUCUCGUAUACUAGUAAAGUUGUCUUUGAGGAAGUAGUCCAGGAGGAAUUAAUGAAGUUGCAGACAUUAAUAGCAAAGAGGCAGUUUUGGAUAUGUAAAGAGAGAUGGCUACUACUGGUGAUAAGCCUACACGGUCAAAUUCAGUUUCAUGCAAUCACAAGAUGCAAGCCUUGAAAGAAGAGUUGAUGCAGUUACAACAGAUAGAGCAGGAGAGGAAGCCAUUGUAGCCAUAGAGACUUUUCACAGAGGAGCCAAACACAAGAGACCAAAAACAAUAAGCCAUUAUAGCCUUUCUUUACCUUUUUCUUCUUUUGCAGUGAUAGGUUCUUGUUAAUAGCUUGCAUGGUAAUAGAUAUUAUAGUAAAUAAUAGAGUAGAAAAUAUGGGGUUUUACAUAAAAAUAAAGAGAAUUAAUUUUGAUUUGUGGCCAAUCUGGAAAAGUUCUUUUUAGUUUUGUAGUUUUAGUUUUAAUUCUUGUAUUUGUUCUUGUUCAAUUCUUGCUAUCUUUGUGUUUUUCAGUUUCUGUUAUGUACAAAUUUUUUGCUUGAUAUGUGCAUGUGGUUUUAUUGUUAGAAAACCUUUCUCACUCACACAUUGAGGACAAUGUGCUUCUUAAGUGUGAGAGUGAGAAGGUAUAGGUUUAAAUCUUGUUUUUACUUGAAUAUGCAUCUGUUAGUAUGUGUUUUUGUAGUUAAAAUAGGAGUAAAAUUUUUUUUAGUUUCUUUUCUGAGUUGCUUUUAGUAUUGUUUCAGUUUGUAAAUACUUAGCUUUAGUUUGUAAAUACCCAAUUUUUUAUGCUUUCAUAAUUUGUUUUAGGUUGUAGAUUAGGCUUUAUUUUUGUUUUGAAUCUCAUAAUUGCUUGUAGAAUUUUUUCUUUUAUUCUUGAUUUUGUUUCACGUAUUAGUAGUUCUGUUUUAGCAUUCUUAAUUCUUAUUUUAAGCAUUAGUAAUUGUUUUAGUUUUCAUAUCUUGCUUUAGUCUUUGUAAAUAUGCUUUUGCUUUAGAAUUUGUUCUUUUAUAGGUUCUGUUUAGGUUUCUAUUAGGAAUUUUGUAGUCUUUUCUUUGCAAUCUGUUUUAGAUAGUUUCUUGGAUGCUUUAGGUUAUACUCUUUCAAUUGUUGCUGUAGGUAGAAAUCAUUGUAGGUUCAUUUCACUUCUCUGAUUUCAUUUCCCUGUUUUAGUUUUCAUAACAGAUUUUGUCCCGAACCUUUUGUUUCUAAGUUUUGUUUUGGUUUUUAGUAAGAGUUUCUUAAGCUUUUUUACAUUCAUUGUUUCUGUUUAGGAUUGCCUUAGGCUUUCUUUCUUUUAAAUAUGAGUUUGUUCUGGUUUAAAGUAGGUUCGUUUAGUACAUAGGCUAGUUUUGUUUUGUGUAGGUUGUAAAAAGCUUAAGGUCAUAUUGUUAGCAAUUUCUAGGUUUAGUUUAGGUCCUGUUUCAUACUCUUUUCUCAAUUCUUUGCUGAUUUAAUGCAUUUCUUAGCUUCAUUUCCUUUAAUUAGAACUCUCAAUUAUGUUUUCUGCUUUAGAUUCAAGUAGAUGUAGUCCUAGCAUUAUUUUUGCAUCUGAGUUUAGUCCAAUAAAGCAAUUUUUUCAUAAAAGAAGGUGGCAAGUCAACUUUAGCAUUUCUUAACCCUAGAGAGAUUUUGGGCCCAAAUUUUUGUCUUUCUGGUGUGAUUUCAUGUUUGUUUAAUUUUCAUUCUAAUUUUGCAUUGGUUCUCUGUGAUAAACUUGCCCUUGGUAGACUUUAGACAUGAUUUAGGCAUUCUUUUUCUUCAUCCAUAGUCAAAUUAUCUUACUUAUUUCAGUUUCUUACCAUUGUACCUUUACUUUGAGCUUUAGCCCUUUUCUUUGUUUCCAUUCAUUACAAGCCCUUUUCCUCACCAAAUACCUAACAUGUAGAGACAUGUGAGAGGAAUGGUGGAUCUAGGAACUUAUUGAGUGCAAUAGAAAAGUAAGGCCAGAAAAGAAAAAGAAAAGGAAAAAUGAGUUGUUGGUUGUGUGCAAAAGAAAAAGAACAGGUCUGGAAAAAGAGAAAAAAUGCAAAAGAAAUGAAAAAAAAAUGAGACCUGAUAGUGAGUAAAAAUCAGAGAGAAAGAAAAAAGAAAUUGGCCUGGCCAAAAUAUAAAAAAUAAUGCACUAACUUCUAGGUCUUUCCUCUUUCAUAGUUUCUCUAAUUCCAUUUAGCCUUAGUUUUCUGACUUUUCAUACCAUUACAUUACAAUCCAUUAAAGACCUUUUGAUCUAGAUGAAACCAUGAGCCGAACAUUGUUACUUAGAGUCUUUUCAAAGUUAAGAAUUGAGGAUGACAUGUCAUGAGUGAGUGAAACAGGACAACCUUAAAUAUUUGAGUGAAUAUGAGUGCAAACACUUAUUCAUGAGGCUGAAAAUGACUUAUGUUUUUCUGAUUGUGUUCAUUGCUGAAAUUGGCUGAAUUUGGUUGUUUAUCACUUGUUGGAUUGCUGAUACUGAGAUUUUAGUUUGAGAAUUAUGUUGUGCAGUUCUGUUGGAUAAAAUGGCUAGGAAUUGAUGAAAUUGGCAAGAUUGAAUGAGUUGUGUAUAAAUAUAAUUGUUUUUGAGUUUUUGUUUAGAAUCUUUUCUUUUAUAGUUUGAGUCUUUGAUUUCUUCUUUCAUUCUUAGUUUUCCCUGCUAAGGAAGUGUGAGGGUGUGUUAACUCUCUAAAUUUACUUCUAUUUCUAGUCUUAGAAGUUUCUUGUAGCUUCUUAUUUUUUAGAAUUAGGAUAGUUUAUAGAUUUUUCUUUAAUUUAGAGUUUUGUAAAAAUAGUACUAAUUUUGUGUUUUUAAGUUGAUAUAUAGUAUUAUUUUUUAUAAAUGAUGUUUUGCUCUUUUCUUUAAAUGUCAAAAUUUGUUUUUAUAAUUAUAGUAUUUUAUUUUGCUGAUUAAACUCUUAAAUUCUUUCUUUUAUGCAGAUUAAGGGUUGAAGAAAUCCAGCGCUAUUGAAGAAUACUGAAUUUGCACCUUUGGCCUGAAGUGAAAUGGGCAGUGCUGAUCUGAAACUUUAUUUUGGGUCGUCUGCAUUGGGCCAAGGAAUCAAGUGAAACUGUGCAUUUUGGUGAUUGCUUUUGCUUUGGGGGUCAAUGUUUCGGAGGCCUCGUUUUCCAGUUGCAAGUCUCUAGCUAGGGCUCAAGUGCAGAGAAAGAGAAGGUAAAAAGAAAACGCUCGUGCUCGUGCCUCCAAUCCAGAAGAAGUUGAAGUUGAUCCUUUGCACAUGCAAGGAGGUCAAAUCAGCAAAGAAAGGGAAGUUGAUCCAAGGGCUGUAAAGACGCGAGUGGUUCGUGAUAAAGGGUUGACAAGAAAGGAAGUUGUUCAGAAAAUUAGUUCGAUCAGAGUAUCACGAAGCUUCCAAUUUUGUUAUAGGUUCAUCCCCUUUCCCCCAUUUUCCCCUCUUUUGGUUUUUCUAUAAAAGGAAGAUUUUAUGUACAAAGUGUGUGCAUUGGUUGACACACAGUGUACUUACCUUAGAGUUUAAAUCACAUGGGUGACAGGCCGUGAGGUUCCCCUUUGUGAUCUUCGGUAAAACUCUUGUAAUUUAGUUUUAAAUUUCAUUACAUUUCAGUUAUGUUA